GGACAUGUAGCCUAAUCAGGUGAGGCAACUGGCUUUUAACCAGUGGGAAACCAUAUGUGGGUUCGAAUCCCGCCUUGUCCU
rnacentral:tRNA from 1 species